AACGUAGGGGGCAAGCGUUGUCCGGAAUUACUGGGCGUAAAGGGUGCGUAGGCGGCCAAUUAAGUCCUGUGUGAAAGGCCCCGGCUUAACCGGGGAGGGCCAUGGGAAACUGAUUGGCUUGAGUACCGGAGAGGGCUGCGGAAUUCCAGGUGUAGCGGUGAAAUGCGUAGAGAUCUGGAAGAACACCAGUGGCGAAGGCGGCAGCCUGGACGGUAACUGACGCUGAGGCACGACAGCUGGGGGAGCGAACAGG
rnacentral:misc_RNA from 1 species